UGAAAAGUGUCUGCUUGGGAAGCUAAUUUUUACAGUGUUGUCGGCGCUAAAAAUUAAGUUGUAUCGAGUCUGGAGAGUCAGCAUCCCCGUCGACCUUGGUCGUCGGCACCGACGAAAACUUCCUCAUCGGCCUCUACCCGGGCGACGUGAUUUUAACGUCUACGCAUUGCGUGUCCGUCGCCGACGACGUCGAUGGCUUUCUUUCCGGGUUCAUACGGUGUAACGGGAACGAGUUCUUGACAAAUGUCAACCACCUGGCAACCGUGUACUUCGUCAUCUCGCUUCUGCUGAUCCUGACGGGUAGUGAUGUGCGUCGUAGCGGAACCUUGAGGUGUUCAUUUGCGGUAGCCACCUAAAGCCAUCGUGCGAGCAACGGCAGCAUCGCCUCGUGUAUCAGCGGAUAAACCGAAUUCGCGUUCAUCUGCGAUAAAUCAUAAGACUAAAAAAUUUAUGUUAUCUAUGGCAAGAAAAAGGUCACAGGAGCAAGGGGAGUCAGUUGCACGCUUCACCUCGGUCCUUCCGGGAAACAUAGCAGAGCUUCCGCAUCUCCAGGAUUUAAUAAACUUAAAAAGCUACCGUUGCAUAGAAACGAAAUUAGACGUCAAUGUUUGUUACAUCUCACGCGGUCGCAUUUUGUUCCAUCUGCUUUCAUCACACGGCUCGGCCAAUAACAUCAACUGUUGUUCUAGCAGGGG